GACGAACCGUACGAACGUUAUUCGGAAUUACUGGGCUUAAAGGGUGCGUAGGCUGCGCGGAAAGUUGGGUGUGAAAUCCCUCGGCUCAACCGAGGAACUGCGCCCAAAACUACCGUGCUCGAGGGAGACAGAGGUGAGCGGAACCUAGGGUGGAGCGGUGAAAUGCGUUGAUAUCCUAAGGAACACCCGUGGCGAAAGCGGCUCACUGGGUCUCUUCUGACGCUGAGGCACGAAAGCUAGGGUAGCGAACGGG
rnacentral:rRNA from 1 species